CUUCAUCCCCACCCCACCCCAUCCCUACUCCCAAAUCAGCCAUCGCCACCUCCACCGAUCAUAUUUGUACACCCAAAAUUGACUGUAUAGAUAUUUUCUAAUAAAUCUAACUUUCUAAUACAUCACAGAAAAAUAGGGGUUUCAAUAUACACAUUCACUUCUCUUGCUUCCUUUCUUCGACUUUGCUCGUUGGAUCCAAAUGAAAAAUAGGUUUCUAUUUCAUUGAUCUGACACAUCUAGUCAGACACCCAACAUUCUUUCCGCAUCUAAAAAAAUUGAUUCUUGAAGGAAACCAAAAAAUUCUAAGCUUUCGAUGGAAUGGACCACAGUUUUUGGAGCUUUGGGAGAUUUUUGCAAUUCCAAAGCUGCAGCAUUUUUCUAAUCAAAACGAACUAUCAGCAAGCUUUAUAGACUUUAUGGUUGAAACUCUACAAGUAUUGCUGGAUUCUGAAACAGAUUCCAAGGUUCCAGAGGAAGAUCAACUUAAAGUUCUUUUGAUGGAUCUAAAAUUUUGGAUUUGGAUUGUCCAGCAAAUUUGGACUUGGAGGAGAGCGGAUUCGAUACAACCGUGUUGGCGUAGGUGGAGGUGGCGAUGGCUGAUUUGGGGGUAGGGGUAGGAAUGGGGUGCGGAUGGCGUAGGAUGAAGAAGACGAUUGAUUUUAUUUAUUUUUUAAUUCUGAUUUCUUCUUUCUUUCUUUUUCAAUUUAAUUUUUAAUUUAUUUUAAUAUAGUAAAUAGAAAAUUACUAUUUUACCCUUUUCAAGAUAUUAAAAAUGUGGUCAAAGUCAAAUUUUUUAGUCAACUAACAGACAUUUAAAUGAAAACUGUCCAAAAGGGCAUCUGUCGCAACGUUUUGAAAGGUUUGAGGUGACGGUGGUAACAAAACAAAGGUUUGGGAAAAGUCUGCUAAUGUUAUAAAGGUUUGGGACCUCUACUGCAAUUUUCCCUUAUUUAAAUCAUAUUAUGAUGUGUUUAUUAUACUGUGGUAAUAGUAUUUAUCUUCUUGUGUAGUGAUGUGGUAGCGAAAUAGCUUUGGAGCAAAUGGGUUUGCCUUGCCAUUUCUUCAAUGGACUUAAGAAUAGAGAAUAUAGGCUCUUCGGGGUAUAGUCCAGUGGUGCAAAGAACAGGAGUGAGGUUAUCUCACGCCUUGCUGGCAACCGCAGUGUGUGGGUUUGAUUUCUGAGACAUGGAAUUGGAUUCCUUGUAGACGCAGUGUACAGACAGCUCUUGUUCUCUAGCCUGUUGGGGUACAUUCCGCGAUUUACCUCCCUCACAAAACUUUAGGGGUGGGGCGGUGGAGGCCCUUAAGGUUGGGGUUCAACCUUUAAGAAUAGAGAAUAUAGGAUUGUUUUUGGUUCUUCCUUUUUUUGUCCUCUAGCUUAGAGAUUUCAUCUAACGUUGGAGCGUUGCUUUUUGAGUUUUUUGCAUGUGUCAAGGUAUUGUCUAAGCUCAUUGCUCCAGAAUUUAUUUAUCGAAGGAACUUUCUUUUCCUAUGUAUAAUUUUUGGUGGAAAAAAUGGUAUUUUAAAACUAUAAGUAACUUAAUCUGUAAACUAAUUGAAUUUAAAUGGAAAUAUGCAAAUUGAGG
rnacentral:lncRNA from 1 species